CCAAAGGUUUUAAAACCACAAACAUGAUAAAAGAAGCGCCGU
rfam:Oryzias latipes DNA, chromosome16, strain: Hd-rR.